rnacentral:rRNA from 1 species
AGGGGUAUAGUAGCAAUACUAGAGACCGGCGCACGGGUGCGUAACGCGUAUGCAAUCUACCUUAUACAGAGGGAUAGCCCAGAGAAAUUUGGAUUAAUACCUCAUAGCAUAGCAACUUCGCAUGAAGUCACUAUUAAAGUUCCAACGGUAUAAGAUGAGCAUGCGUCCUAUUAGCUAGAUGGUAAGGUAACGGCUUACCAUGGCUACGAUAGGUAGGGGUCCUGAGAGGGAGAUCCCCCACACUGGUACUGAGACACGGACCAGACUCCUACGGGAGGCAGCAGUGAGGAAUAUUGGACAAUGGGCGCAAGCCUGAUCCAGCCAUGCCGCGUGCAGGAAGACGCAUCUAUGGUGUGUAAACUGCUUUUGUACGGGAAGAAACACUCCCUCGUGAGGGAGCUUGACGGUACCGUAAGAAUAAGGAUCGGCUAACUCCGUGCCAGCAGCCGCGGUAAUACGGAGGAUCCAAGCGUUAUCCGGAAUCAUUGGGUUUAAAGGGUCCGUAGGCGGUUUGGUAAGUCAGUGGUGAAAGCCCAUCGCUUAACGAUGGAACGGCCAUUGAUACUGCCAGACUUGAAUUACUGGGAAGUAACUAGAAUAUGUAGUGUAGCGGUGAAAUGCUUAGAUAUUA